rnacentral:tRNA from 1 species
GAGGGUAGAGCUCAGUGGUAGAGCGCAUGCUUAGCGUGCACGAGGUCCUGGGUUCAGUCCCCAGCACCUCCA